ensembl:rRNA 5S_rRNA 5S ribosomal RNA
GCCAGCCAUACAAACAUGGACAUGCCAAAUCUCAUCUGAUCUCCGAAGCUAAGAAAGGUUUGGCUUGGUUAAGUACAUGGAUGGCAGACCACCUGGACAUAACAGGUGCUGUAAGCU